CACGUAGGGUGCGAGCGUUGUCCGGAAUUAUUGGGCGUAAAGGGCUCGUAGGCGGUCCGUCACGUCGGGAGUGAAAACUCGGGGCUAAACCCCGAGCCUGCUUCCGAUACGGGCGGACUAGAGGUAGGUAGGGGAGAACGGAAUUCCUGGUGUAGCGGUGGAAUGCGCAGAUAUCAGGAGGAACACCGGUGGCGAAGGCGGUUCUCUGGGCCUUACCUGACGCUGAGGAGCGAAAGCGUGGGGAGCGAACAGG
rnacentral:rRNA from 1 species